rnacentral:rRNA from 1 species
UACAGAGGGUGCAAGCGUUAAUCGGAUUUACUGGGCGUAAAGCGUGCGUAGGCGGUUCAUUAAGUCGGUUGUGAAAUCCCUGGGCUUAACCUGGGAACUGCAGUCGAUACUGGUGAACUAGAGUGCGGUAGAGGGUGGCGGAACUCCGGGUGUAGCGGUGAAAUGCGUAGAUAUCGGGAGGAACACCGGUGGCGAAGGCGGUUCUCUGGGCCUUACCUGACGCUGAGGAGCGAAAGCCAGGGGAGCAAACGGG